rnacentral:rRNA from 1 species
GAUGAACGCUGGCGGCGUGCCUAAUACAUGCAAGUAGAACGCUGAAGGAGGAGCUUGCUCUUCUGGAUGAGUUGCGAACGGGUGAGUAACGCGUAGGUAACCUGCCUGGUAGCGGGGGAUAACUAUUGGAAACGAUAGCUAAUACCGCAUGACAACAGUUAUUGCAUGAUAACUGUUUAAAAGGGGCAACUGCUCCACUACCAGAUGGACCUGCGUUGUAUUAGCUAGUUGGUGAGGUAACGGCUCACCAAGGCGACGAUACAUAGCCGACCUGAGAGGGUGAUCGGCCACACUGGGACUGAGACACGGCCCAGACUCCUACGGGAGGCAGCAGUAGGGAAUCUUCGGCAAUGGACGGAAGUCUGACCGAGCAACGCCGCGGGAGUGAAGAAGGUUUUCGGAUCGUAAAGCUCUGUUGUAAGAGAAGAACGAGUGUGAGAGUGGAAAGUUCACACUGUGACGGUAUCUGACCAGAAAGGGACGGCUAACUACGUG